GACUGAGAGGCACCAGCUAGAUGAUCAAUGAAAUUCUCCGAGUUUACCCGUUUUUACAAUUUUGUUUUCGUUGUGUGCGGUGAGAAUGGACAUAAGAGUAUCACUGUAGGUAAAGCAACAAGUUUUGGCUUUUAUACGUUGUCUGCAUGGGAAUCUAGAAGGAUAUGACUCUAAAGAUGAACAGCACAAAGAUUAUCGUCGCUGCCACACAGGAUUAAGAAGUGUUCCAGGCUUAAAGAGAAUAAAAAUCUAAAGACAAUGAAAAAAAAGUAUCAGAACUCGAUACUCUUAUUCGCCCCCAAACUUGAAACGAAUCGGAUCCGACAAGAGUCCAAGAUGUUCAUUCAUGUCACAUUGCGGGAUCGAGUUUUCUCACAAGGGUUUGCGAGUCAUUAGAAUAUGAUGAGUACGCAAGGGUAGAAACCGCUCCACACCCGCAGCAAAUUAAGGUCUGGCCACAAUCUCAAGAGUUAGCAAAGCAAAGAAGGAUAUCAAACCAAAGAUUUGAAGAAAGAGGCUGCAGACGGCGGAGAAGAAAGAGGCUGCAGACGGCGGAGAAACUAAGGAAUAAGAUCUGUUAUUCAUCAUUCAAUUGUAAUUUUUUUUGUGCAGUCGUUAGAUAAUGCUUUCAUUAAUAUCAACCAUUUGAUGACAUAUCUUUCAUCCCGAUUAAGACCAUCUUCUAUUGA